GAAGAAGAAGAAGAAGAGGGUUGGGAGGGGGGAGGAUAGCCAAUGCAUUCACAAAAUUAUAAUAAUGCCACUUAUUAAAAGUAAGAACUUUCUUCACGAGGAUAUUAAGGAAAGCAAAUUCAAGUGUAACCAGCCAGGCAGCAUAAAACUAUUGGGGCAGAAAUAGAGUAGAAUGACAAUGAAAUUCUAUCCAACAAUCAAUAACUUUCACUCAAGGGGAAAAAAGAGUGAAGAAAAAUUAAUUUAAACAAGGGGAAAAUGCUACCU
rnacentral:misc_RNA from 1 species